UAAUCUGUUUGUGACAGAUCCUUAUCUAGUUAUAUCAGACCCACACGUAACUGCUCAAAAUCAUCAUUGAAAACUAUUGUGUGAACAAUAACUUUUUAAUAU
rfam:Populus trichocarpa isolate Nisqually-1 chromosome 5, whole genome shotgun sequence.